UAACCCACCUCCGGGUGGUUAUAGAGUGGCGAACGGGUGAGUAACACGUGACCAACCUACCUCUCACUCCGGGAUAACCCAGAGAAAUCUGCGCUAAUACCGGAUACUCCGGGCACCUCGCAUGGGGAGCCCGGGAAAGCCCCGACGGUGGGAGAUGGGGUCGCGGCCUAUUAGAUAGUUGGUGGGGUAACGGCCUACCAAGUCGACGAUAGGUAGCCGGGUUGAGAGACCGAUCGGCCACAUUGGGACUGAGAUACGGCCCAGACUCCUACGGGAGGCAGCAGUGGGGAAUUUUGCGCAAUGGGGGAAACCCUGACGCAGCAACGCCGCGUGCGGGAUGACGGCCUUCGGGUUGUAAACCGCUUUCAGCAGGGAAGAAAUUGACGGUACCUGCAGAAGAAGCUCCGGCUAACUACGUGCCAGCAGCCGCGGUAAUACGUAGGGAGCAAGCGUUAUCCGGAUUUAUUGGGCGUAAAGCGCGCGUAGGCGGCCUGUUAAGCGGAAUCUCUAAUCUGAGGGCUCAACCCCCAGCCGGAUUCCGAACUGGCAGGCUCGAGUUUGGUAGAGGAAGAUGGAAUUCCCAGUGUAGCGGUGAAAUGCGCAGAUAUUGGGAAGAACACCGAUGGCGAAGGCAGUCUUCUGGGCCAACACUGACGCUGAGG
rnacentral:rRNA from 1 species